AGUGAACGCUGGCGGUAGGCCUAACACAUGCAAGUCGAACGGCAGCACAGGAGAGCUUGCUCUCUGGGUGGCGAGUGGCGGACGGGUGAGGAAUACAUCGGAAUCUACCUUUUCGUGGGGGAUAACGUAGGGAAACUUACGCUAAUACCGCAUACGACCUACGGGUGAAAGUGGGGGACCGCAAGGCCUCACGCGAUUAGAUGAGCCGAUGUCCGAUUAGCUAGUUGGCGGGGUAAUGGCCCACCAAGGCGACGAUCGGUAGCUGGUCUGAGAGGAUGAUCAGCCACACUGGAACUGAGACACGGUCCAGACUCCUACGGGAGGCAGCAGUGGGGAAUAUUGGACAAUGGGCGCAAGCCUGAUCCAGCCAUACCGCGUGGGUGAAGAAGGCCUUCGGGUUGUAAAGCCCUUUUGUUGGGAAAGAAAUCCUGUCGAUUAAUACUCGGUGGGGAUGACGGUACCUAAAGAAUAAGCACCGGCUAUCUUCGUGCCAGCCGCCGCGGUAAUAC
rnacentral:rRNA from 1 species